CAUGAAGCUGGAUUCGCUAGUAAUCGCGCAUCAGCCACGGCGCGGUGAAUACGUUCCCGGGCCUUGUACACACCGCCCGUCAAGCCAUGGAAGCCGGGAGUGCCUGAAGUGCGGUACCGCGAGGGCCGCCCAAGGGCGAGACCGGUGACUGGGGCUAAGUCGUAACAAGGUACC
rnacentral:rRNA from 1 species